rnacentral:rRNA from 1 species
CCAUUUAAAGAGUGCGUAAUAGCUCACUGGUCGAGUGACUCUGCGCCGAAAAUGUACCGGGGCUAAACGUAUCACCGAAGCUGCGGACUGUUCUAACGAACAGUGGUAGGAGAGCGUUCUAAGUGCUGUGAAGUCAGACCGGAAGGACUGGUGGAGCGCUUAGAAGUGAGAAUGCCGGUAUGAGUAGCGAAAGACGGGUGAGAAUCCCGUCCACCGAAUGCCUAAGGUUUCCUGAGGAAGGCUCGUCCGCUCAGGGUUAGUCGGGACCUAAGCCGAGGCCGAAAGGCGUAGGCGAUGGACAACAGGUUGAUAUUCCUGUACCACCUCCUCACCAUUUGAGCAAUGGGGGGACGCAGGAGGAUAGGGUAAGCGCGGUAUUGGAU